rnacentral:rRNA from 1 species
UACGUAGGGGGCGAGCGUUGUCCGGAAUCAUUGGGCGUAAAGCGCGUGUAGGCGGCCCGGUAAGUCCGCUGUGAAAGUCCAGGGCUCAACCCUGGGAUGCCGGCGGAUACUGUCGGGCUCGAGUCCGGAAGAGGCGAGUGGAAUUCCUGGUGUAGCGGUGAAAUGCGCAGAUAUCAGGAGGAACACCAAUGGCGAAGGCAGCUCGCUGGGACGUGACUGACGCUGAGACGCGAAAGCGUGGGGAGCAAACAGG